UCUCCUGGUAGACUAGUGGUUAGCCCACAGCGCUCUCACUGCUACGGCCCGGGUUUGCUUCCCGGCCAGGGAA